rnacentral:rRNA from 1 species
UACGAAGGACCCAAGCGUUAUCCGGAUUUAUUGGGUUUAAAGGGUGCGUAGGCGGAUUUGUAAGUCAGUGGUGAAAUCCUGCAGCUUAACUGCAGAACUGCCAUUGAAACUGCUUAUCUUGAGUACAUUUGAGGCGGGCGGAAUGUGUCAUGUAGCGGUGAAAUGCUUAGAUAUGACACAGAACACCGAUUGCGAAGGCAGCUCGCUAAACUGUAACUGACGCUGAUGCACGAAAGCGUGGGGAUCCAACAGG